GAAAAAAUACUUUAUAUCGGAGUUGUGCCUGUUGUUCACACGCUUAUCUGCCCUCUCAUUUGCUACAAUGGUGCGACCUGAUCUUUCCCCCUCGGUUUUCCUACCUGAAAAUAGGCGAUACCGUAAAGUGUUGUGUAUUCGCGAACCAAAUUCAGGAGCCUGAAGCGCGGGUGGCUUGACUGCGUAUUGCGAAUCUCGGCUCUCCUGACCGCAGUGGACGAUAUAGGCUACUCAAAUCGGUUAAUAAGGUUCGAGUUGGCAUAGUAAUAGCAGGCAGGUUAAACAAAUAUACAGAUUAUGAUAUAAUAGAUAUUAAUCGAAUGCAUCUCUCAUUUAUUUCCAAUGGGGCGUGGCUCCACCUAAAAUAAGACUCUUGCCUCCUUAUGCAGAUUGGCCAGACCUGCCCUGUUCUUGAACCGGGUAGUUCAGCGCUCCGGCGAUUCUCAAUAGAUGACUCUCGGUCUCUUCGUACAUUGCACAAGGAGUAGACUGGCUAGUGUACGCUAGUUUGAGCCGUCCUCUAUUCCAAUAUCUUUCGGAGCUGUUGACAUUCAACCAACACUGAAGGGAACUUGAUAAAAAAGUUAACAUUUUGGAGUGAUCAUAACGAGCGCAUUUACCCAACCGUCUAGGUCCUCGCCAAGGACUGUCCACCCGGGAUGUUCGACCUAACGAAGGAAUGGAUUCUGUCGUUCGCCGGCUGCGGGUUCCUGGGGAUCUAUCACAUCGGAGUGGCCAGCUGCCUGUUGGAACAAGCGCCUUACCUCAUCAAAGGAGCCGCCAAGAUCUACGGGGCUUCAGCUGGUUCCCUCUCCGCCUCGGUGCUCGCCAGCCAGGCAUCCAUAGCCGAGGAAGAAGUGCCGUCUGGUACAUCAUGGGUGAGUUUGGGUCCCAGGUGCAGCACUCUCACCAGUCUACUUGUUGCAUGGCCCCCCUUCUUCUACACUUGAUGAAUACCGAGAACAGAACAUUAAAAACAUCAACUCAAGAUUUUAGCCGGGAAAAGUUGUACACAUGCAGCAUACAAACUUCAACACACAUUUGUCUCAAACACCACUUGAUCUACAGUAGAGAGAGGGAAGUUUCCUCAGCCUGUAGAAUCCAUGCAAUACUAAUCAUAAUAUAUCUCAAUGACGGAAUGAAAAUAAUUGUGCUAUCUACAUCAGAUAAAGAUGUUCUAAUGACUGGUCAUUAACCAGAGAAUCUAUUGGACAAGAUGUUCUAUUGACUGGUCAUUAACCAGAGAAUCUAUUGGACAAGAUGUUCUAUUGACUGGUCAUUAACCAGAGAAUCUAUUGGACAAGAUGUUCUAAUGACUGGUCAUUAACCAGAGAAUCUAUUGGACAAGAUGUUCUAUUGACUGGUCAUUAACCAGAGAAUCUAUUGGACAAGAUGUUCUAUUGACUGGUCAUUAACCAGAGAAUCUAUUGGACAAGAUGUUCUAUUGACUGGUCAUUAACCAGAGAAUCUAUUGGACAAGAUGUUCUAAUGACUGGUCAUUAACCAGAGAAUCUAUUGGACAAGAUGUUCUAAUGACUGGUCAUUAACCAGAGAAUCUAUUGGACAAGAUGUUCUAAUGACUGGUCAUUAACCAGAGAAUCUAUUGGACAAGAUGUUCUAAUGACUGGUCAUUAACCAGAGAAUCUAUUGGACAAGAUGUUCUAUUGACUGGUCAUUAACCAGAGAAUCUAUUGGACAAGAUGUUCUAAUGACUGGUCAUUAACCAGAGAAUCUAUUGGACAAGAUGUUCUAUUGACUGGUCAUUAACCAGAGAAUCUAUUGGACAAGAUGUUCUAAUGACUGGUCAUUAACCAGAGAAUCUAUUGGACAAGAUGUUCUAUUGACUGGUCAUUAACCAGAGAAUCUAUUGGACAAGAUGUUCUAUUGACUGGUCAUUAACCAGAGAAUCUAUUGGACAAGAUGUUCUAAUGACUGGUCAUUAACCAGAGAAUCUAUUGGACAAGAUGUUCUAAUGACUGGUCAUUAACCAGAGAAUCUAUUGGACAAGAUGUUCUAAUGACUGGUUAUUAACCAGAGAAUCUAUUGGACAAGAUGUUCUAAUGACUGGUCAUUAACCAGAGAAUCUAUUGGACAAGAUGUUCUAAUGACUGGUCAUUAACCAGAGGCUCUCUUGGACAAGAUGUUCUCAUGACUGAAGUCUUUAACCAGACAAUGACCUUCCUUCUAUUCAAUUAGGAACAGAGGGGGAAGCUGUUUCACCAUUGCCACUCAUGUUACAAAUGAACGGGUGUAGAAAUACAGAUGGUGAAACAUAUACAUCCACCGGGCUAUAGGGGUUAAUACUUAUCAGCAGACACCGUCACAUACACACAGUCGCUCGGUCACAUUCACACACGCACCCACACACUCCUAGGCACAUGCACACAAACAGACGUGCGUACACAGACAGAGAGACAACAGACACACACGCAAACUCAAACCUCAGCUAGCCCCUUGCAUCAACAUCAUGUGGCCUGUCCUCUUAGAAAAAAUGAGAAAAAUGAGUGUCUAUAUUUUAGUGACCAGAGGCAAUCAACACAUGGAACUCAAUACAUAAUAACUCAAUGGGAGUUAAGUCAGAUAAAAAAGCUAGUUAUCACCCAAUUGGAUGUGCAUGGAGGAGACACUGGCCUGGUUGUGAAUGACUGGUAAUUCUUGUUAGUUUUGGUCUUCUGCAAAGCACACACACACGCCUCCCCUCAACUGCUGCAGAAAGUGGAGCCGCCUGUAACAUUAGCUUGUAAAAGUUUCAGUCAUGACAAAACUCUCAAUCUCACCGUUUGUUUGACUGUCAGAGGGAGCAAGGCGAGCUGCACAUACCAAAGAUGGUCUACCUAUUAACUCAGGUUUGAUGAUCACUAGUUUCCCCUUUCAUCUCUGGCGCUGCUUUCCUGUGCUCGUCUACAAGUGCUGCGCUAUAUAUGGGCUGCUUAAUUAGCCAUAUAUACUGAUAGAGUGUAAAUAAUUGUUUUACUGUGAUUAAGUGUAAGUGGAGUUAGAUUGAGUGGAGACUGGUGGGAGGAGCUAUAGGAGGAUGGGCUCAUUGUAAUGGCUGGAAUGAAAUUAAUGGAAUGGAGUCAAAC